ACAUGCAAGUCGAGGGGUAACAGGGAAAAGCUUGCUUUUCCGCUGACGACCGGCGCACGGGUGCGUAACGCGUAUGCAACCUACCUCUUACUGGGGUAUAGCCCAGAGAAAUUUGGAUUAAUCCCCCAUAGUACCAUUUAAUCGCAUGGUUGAAUGGUUAAAGGUUACGGUAAGAGAUGGGCAUGCGUCCCAUUAGUUAGUUGGUGAGGUAAUGGCUCACCAAGACUCCGAUGGGUAGGGGUUCUGAGAGGAUGAUCCCCCACACUGGUACUGAGACACGGACCAGACUCCUACGGGAGGCAGCAGUGAGGAAUAUUGCGCAAUGGACGAAAGUCUGACGCAGCCAUGCCGCGUGCAGGAUGACGGCGCUACGCGUUGUAAACUGCUUUUAUUUACAAAGAAACCUCGGGACGUGUCCCGAGCUGACGGUAGUAUUUGAAUAAGCACCGGCUAACUCCGUGCCAGCAGCCGCGGUAAUACGGAGGGUGCAAGCGUUAUCCGGAUUUAUUGGGUUUAAAGGGUCCGUACGCGGAUGAUUAAGUCAGUGGUGAAAGC
rnacentral:rRNA from 1 species